rnacentral:rRNA from 1 species
GCAAGUAACCAUGGGUACAGUUAUGACUCUCGGAAAAAACAUAUUUGCUCAAAUUCAUUAGUGCAAGAAAUGAAAUCAAAAACUCGCAGAAACCGAAAGGGAAUCGGGUUAAUAAUCCCGAACCCGGACACGGAGAUUGGUCCUUCGGGGCCCAGUGCGGUAACGCAAACCAGCUCGGAGACGCCGAUGCGAGCCCCGGGAAGAGUUUUCUUUUCUCUGUAAGGAGAUCGAGUCCCUGGAAUGGGUUCGCCCCGAGAUAGGGAUGGUGGCUCCGUAGAGCAGUGCGGCUCUUGCGCUGUCCGGUGCGCUCGCGUCGGCCCUUGAAAAUCCGAGCGAGGGAGUGUGAUUUUCGGGCCGGACCGUACCCACAUCCGCAGCAGGUC